UGAUUGUUGGUCUCCGCCACAAACAUUGGCUAAACGCGACCUGCUCAGUUUCCACUCCUCUCUUCUAAAAUCAUAGAGUCUUAUUAGUCUAAGGCGUUCACCAGUGUGAGUGAUAGCCUUCCACGUCCGUGUUUACAUGCGAGACGGAUGGGUCACUCACGAAGGUAAAUGUGGCAGAUAUGCACCUUACGUGUAUCACUGCAGCGGUUAGAACUUUUUGUCGCGCAACAUCCCAUUCGCUGUGGUUGGUGCUAUUGGAAAAGCUACCAAUAUUUGACAGUUUAUAAAGUCAGCCUGUAUGGACUAGGCAACAAAAUAAAAUAAAAAACAUUUCCGAUUUCCGAUUCUGUACAAGGUUGGCUGAGCUCAGCAAAAGUUGGGAAUGUUCUUUUUGUUAGUAGCACUCAAAGGAGUAAGAAGUGCGCGCGAUUCUCCCGAUUAAACUUAGUGAAAAUAAAAGUCAGUGAGCAUUUGUAAAUUUAUGAUACUAUUGUACAGUUAAAAUUAGUAAUACGUGUUAAAACAGCGACAAGGCAUCCACAGUUAACACGAAAACGUAGGAAAAUUUGUUAAAAGGUCCCAGCGGCCUUUUUGUUUCGGGCUGGAGACUUGGUCCGAAGCCAUUUUCAUUUACAGUGACCAACGGAGAGAAACCUGACGCGGUCCAACCGCAAGCCACUAACAAGGCAACUCCGACCUCACUAGUCCCACGUCAAUUGGUGAACUUUAAAGACAGAUUCGAUAAACAUCAAGGCAUACAGGAUAAAGAGAACCCCGUGUGUUGCUUCUGUGAGAUGGCGUCCCACAUACCGUUGGUUGGGACGAUUCCGUAGAAAAUUCCAAGACUACCUACGGCUGGCACAUGGUCAGUUACUAUUGAAGAUCAUCGAUCAUCUCGUCGAAGAUAAUGCACACUACUAUUCCGGAAUAAAAACCGCAAGUAAAACAAUCCCAUGUGACGUCACAUAGAUUUAAGAAAACCAAUGUUAGGCUAGCAAUAAAUUUGUUAAUAAUGUUCAGAAAA